UACGAAGGGGGCUAGCGUUGCUCGGAAUUACUGGGCGUAAAGGGCGCGUAGGCGGACAGUUAAGUCAGAGGUGAAAGCCCAGGGCUCAACCCUGGAAUUGCCUUUGAUACUGGCUGUCUUGAGUAUGGGAGAGGUGAGUGGAACUCCGAGUGUAGAGGUGAAAUUCGUAGAUAUUGGGAAGAACACCGGUGGCGAAGGCGGCUCACUGGCUCGUAACUGACGCUCAUGCACGACAGCGUGGGGAUCAAACAGG
rnacentral:rRNA from 1 species